rnacentral:lncRNA from 1 species
GGGGUAACGGGGACAAAGCCUAGUGGUACAUACAAUCCCAGAACUUUAGAGGCAGGGACAGGAGGAUCCCCAGUUGGAAGUUAGCCUGUACUACACAGAAAUGCUCCAUUUUAGUUGGCGACAAUGGAAACAAAGAGAAAGAAGAGGAGAAGGUGGAGGGGUAAUAGCUUAGUCAAUAACAGUCAGUUGAUAACCCUGUUGGGUUUAGAUGGCUAGUUUAUAGUGUGGACAGAGAGACUCCCAAUUCCCCUGCUUGUCAUCUGUCACAUAUUCACAUCCCGUGUGCUGACAUCAUCUUCCUUUGGUACUCAGGAAGCCUGAGCAGCUAGCAGCAGGGGGAAACACAGAGGAGGAAAUUGUGACCAUAAAAAGGUUGAACGGAGUGAACACAAGCCCCAAGGAGGAUUCGAGACUUGAUUCCUUUCAGAAUCAAUGACUGGCUGAGAAUUUCCUCAGAA